CAGCUAGAGAUAUUGCUAAUAAGCUAGAAAGAUAGUCAACCAACUGGGAAAAGAUCUUCACCAGCAAUGCAACAGACAAAGGCCUAAUAUCCACCAUCUACAGAGAGCUCAGGAAACAAAUCCCUUCCAAAUCUAAUAAACCAAUCACUAAAUGGUGAAAUUAAAAUGAC